rnacentral:rRNA from 1 species
UACGUAGGAGGCAAGCGUUGUCCGGAGUUACUGGGCGUAAAGCGCACGCAGGCGGUCGCAUCAGUCUGGGGUGACAGUUCCCGGCUUAACCGGAAAAGGACUCUGGAAACUGUGCGACUUGAGGGCUUCAGAGGGAUGUGGAAUUUCCGGUGGAGCGGUGAAAUGCGUAGAGAUCGGAAAGAACACCAACGGCGAAAGCACUCUGCUGGGCCGACACUGACACUGAGAGACGAAAGCUAGGGGAGCGAAUGGG